rnacentral:lncRNA from 1 species
UGCUUCCAACCAUGGGGUCUGAAAUACCAGACAGGAGUGUAGGACUUCAAUCCCUUGCUCCUUUACAUAUUCCAAGGCAUCAAAUGCCCGGAUCUGAAGAAGCUCAGACAAGUGGGUCAGAAUCAGUGAUUCCGAUUGCUCCUGUCCUCUUAGGUCAUGGUGCUCGACAAAGGUCCCCGGACAAUUCAGAGGUUGUUCCCUGGACCUUUUAUCCCACAGGUCCACCUGUUAGCUUUUUUACGAUGCUUCCAAUGUACAACUUCCCAACUGAGUCAGGAACCUCUGAUGCAUCAACAAGCCAUUUUAGUGGGGAAGAGGGCCUGGGAAGCAGUGAUUCUGGUCAAAAGUUUGAUAUGUCUGAGGGACUUGAUCAGUCAGAGGCGUCAAGUACUUCAAUUUCUAUGAGAAGGUCUGCUCAUGUCGAACCAUUGGAGCACAAGUUUGACAUUCUCAACAGUGACUUUCCUAGCCAUUGGCAAAAUUUACAAUAUGGCCGGUUUCACAAUCUUCUUGUAAUUAGCAAUUUAGAGUGAGAAAAACAAAAGUGCUAUUUCCAGAAAAAGGAGAACAAGAAACCUUCAAGGCAUUUCAAUCAAGAUACUGCACCAUCCAUUAAUUGUUUGUUUAUUUUCAUAAUCGAAAUGGUAAUUAAAAAUAAUUAUUUGAUUUAAAAUCCUAUUAAAUACAAUCCAAUUUAUUUAAAUUAAUUGAUCCAGUUCGAAGUUUUAAAUGAACUUAUGUUAUUCAGAUGAUAUGAUUCCCGUGAGAGAAUAUAAACAAAAUCUAAAUUUUCAAAAUUUCUUAUCAUAUGAUUUAUUGUGGAUUUUUAUAAACGCAGACAGCUGAAAUAAAUUUAUGGCUUUAAAAUGACAAAAAAGUAUAUAAAGGCAAUGAGGCUGCGGCCUUGGGACGGUAAAAAUAUCGGGGUACAGUCUGAAUUCGCAAAGAUUUGGAACAUUCAGAUAUGGAAAAAUUUGGAUCCGCAUAUUAAAAAAUGUGGAUCCAGAUGCUAAAUUAUAGAAUCCGUACAUAUCCAAAUUCGAAUCCGGAUCCGGCCGAAAAAAGGAUAUCGCAUUAUUUUUUAAUUAAAUUAUUUACUAAAUUAAAAUUAAAUAAAAAUAUAUAAGUUAAAUGAAAAACAUAAUAGAAUUAAUUAAAAAACAUAAAUGAAACUAAAGUAAAAAAUAAAUUAUAUAUAUAUAUAUUGGAAUCCAUAUUAUUUUAUGUGGACUUGUAGUGUUUUUUUAUUUUAUAUAUGUAGUUUGCCAUCACUACUGCGGCCUGCUUCAAUUGCCUGCAACAGAAAUUGGGCCCAACACUUAUAUGGGCCUGCAUAAUUUCAAUUGGCUAGCCCAACUCAUUAAGGAAAAGUACAAAACGGCAGCGGCGAAUAAUAAAAAUAAAAACGAAAAUCUUCUUAAAUAAAAAAAGGAAAAUGGAAAGAACGGUAAGAGAAAAAAAAUUCAAAAAUUUUUUUAAUUUAAUUUAUUUUUUAUUACGUCUGCCCUGUCUCCCUCUUGCUCUCUCUCCGUGUUCCUUUCCCAGAUUCUAUCAUCCUCCCUCUUUCUUUCUCUCUCUGUUUCUAUUUCUCAAAUAUAUUUUUUCAUUAUUUAAAAAUAAAAAAAUAAAUUAGAAACCCUCGAAUGCACAAACUUCCUCAUCGUCAAAACCUCGCCUCCACAAAGCAAUUCCAAAUUCCUGUGACCAAACACGCCCUCUUUCUGUCUUUCUUCCCGAAACCUAAUUUUGAUCCGCCCCUCAAUCUAUCCACCAUUUAAUUUAAUGCCCCAAUCCCCUCUCUUACAUUUGCUAUUUGGUCCCUCUUCCUCCUCACAACUAUCUUUAUACUUUCCAUCGUUGAUUCGCCGACGCUUCCAACUUCCAAAACAUUCUCCUUAGGUUUUGAUAAAUCUCAACCAAUCUGUAUCACUAAUCUGCUUCUUAUUUUUAUCUUCAGGGUUUCAGCAUAUCCUUUUUCUUUACUAAUAUAUUCAGUUUGUUAUAAAUUUACAAUUUUGUAUUCUUCUUUAGGUUAUAUAAAUUUCAAAACCUAAAAUUCUUCUUACUAUUACUUAAGAAAAAGGUUAAUAAUAAUUGAAACUCAAGCAUAAAAACAAAACUGAUAGACUUUGAAUUCGAAAAACUUAGUUUGAUCGGCAAGUUGUUUUAGUAGUUGUGGUGGUGGUGGCGGUGACAUUUUGGGUAAAGAUUAGCAAAGCGAAAAUUAAAGGGAUUGCAUGGGAGAGCAUGAAGGGCGGAGAGAGCCACCAAGUGGGCUAUUAUUAAACGGGUUAUUGCCCAAUGAAGCGGGUUCAGUGAUCCGAGCACUUGACCCGGAACGAUGGUUGAAGGCAGAGGAGAGAACUGCAGAGCUUAUUGCCUGCAUUCAGCCCAACCCCUUUUCCGAAGAACGCCGCAAUGCUGUUGCAGAUUAUGUUCAGCGCCUCAUUAGCAAAUGCGUUCCUUGUCAGGUUGCCAACUUUUACAUAUAUGUGAGAAUUUGUUUAUGUUGCGUUGCUUUAUUGAUUCGACCAAAUGAACAUGUAUUAUGUUGAAUUUUGUUAAUGUUGUAUAUCCCGGUUUAACUUAUUAGUCAAAACACAGGCAUAAAUAGUUGCAAUCAUCCUAUAUUUAGUGAAUGUGAUGGGAUGUUGAACAAAUUGGCAUCAUUUAAGCUUUUGCAUUUUCAUUUAUUUUAUGUUAUUAUUCACUAGUGAUUAUUUUCGUGUACAGGUUUUUACUUUUGGGUCUGUACCCCUUAAGACCUAUUUACCAGAUGGGGACAUUGACUUAACAGCUUUUAGUGAUAAUCAAACUUUGAAAGACACAUGGGCUCAUCAGGUGCGUGAUAUGUUGGAAAACGAAGAGAAGAAUGAGCAUGCUGAAUUCCGUGUCAAGGAGGUUCAGUACAUUCAGGCAGAAGUGAGUUUCAUCGUACCUUAGUUUUCUAAAGAUUGUGGCUCAUAUCUUCCAUUCAUGCCCUGUAUUAUUUGAUGCAAAAUUUCCAUCUGAUAGAGUUUUACAAAUUUCAAACUUGUGAUUUAUUUUAACUGGAGAUAAGUUUGGAUUUAUCCCCUGAAAUUUUAGUUUCAGAGUUGCAAUGCUAUUCGUUGUGACUGAUUGUGGUGAUUUAUUCAUCUGAGAAGAUGCUUGUUUGUCCACUAAACCGUUACUAUUAUUAUGGUUAUCUAAAUUCUUGUUUGUGGAUUUUCUGCAUAAAUUCUAAUGUAACCUAUAUAAGCCCAUUUUGCCUCAAGUUUUUUGUUUUGUACUGAAUUUAACAUUCUUUUUCUGUUAUUAUUUGUAGGUAAAGAUAAUAAAGUGCCUUGUCGAAAAUAUUGUGGUAGACAUAUCAUUUAACCAGCUUGGUGGGUUAUGCACUCUUUGUUUCCUUGAUGAGGUCCGUGGUGCAUCAACUUUGCCAUUGAACGUUUCCUUUUCAAAUUGUAAUCCAUUAUGCUGAUUAUGUUUAUUUGCUAACUGUUUUUUUCUGCUUAAAUAGGUUGAUCAUAUGAUAAAUCAGAAUCAUCUUUUCAAGCGCAGCAUUAUACUGAUAAAGGCUUGGUGUUAUUAUGAAAGCCGAAUAUUGGGUGCUCACCAUGGACUUAUAUCAACAUAUGCCUUGGAGACAUUGGUUCUUUACAUAUUUCAUGUUUUCAACAAUUCUUUUGCUGGUCCGCUUGAGGUGGCUAUGUGAACAUUUUCUCACUAUUUUCAUACAUUUGUCCUUUUAGUAGGCUGAUAGUUUUUUUCUUUCCACUUGUAGGUCCUUUAUCGUUUUCUGGAGUUUUUUAGCAAGUUUGACUGGGACAACUUCUGUCUAAGCCUUUGGGGUCCUGUACCCAUCAGUUCGCUUCCAGAUGUAACGGGUAUAGAUAUUUUGCUUGAAAAUUCUAAUUUUGAUCCUCGCAUAAGUGAUCGUCAAGCUUGAUGUUUCCUCUUGGUCUGUUUUACAGCGGAACCUCCUCGAAAAGAUGGUGGAGUGUUACUUCUUAGCAAAUUGUUUCUUGAUGCUUGUAGUUCUACAUAUGCUGUUUUUCCUGGUGGCCAAGAAAAUCAGGGCCAACCCUUUGUUUCAAAACAUUUUAAUGUCAUCGAUCCUUUGCGUGUAAACAACAACCUUGGGCGCAGUGUUAGUAAAGGUGCAUUGACAAACUAUAUACUACAGUUCUAUUUCUUUUGUGGGCUUAUUAUUUGUUGCGAUACUGUGAUAUCAUCUGUUCAUUCCUCUGGCAUGGUGAAUGUGAUACUAUUAAUUUUAUUUUGAAUUAAUGUCUUUCUUUUUUUUUUUGAAUGGUCUUUGUAAUUCUAUGAAACAUUGCCUGUUCCUAUUUUUUAAUGUUUUGCUUAUUUUUAUUUCUUACCUACCAUUUUCCAGUGGCAAUUUGAACUGUCUUCAUGUGGUUCUUUUUUGUAGCCUGCUUGGGCUCCAAUGUCCGUUAGCAUAAGAAGGUUAUAUUUUAGUUUAGUUGUGGCUUCAUAUAUGCUAACCUUUUUAUGAUCGUAUGCUAUCAAUGACAUUUUACUAUGUUUUUGCUUGGUUACUUUCUUAAUUUUUCUUCACAAUAGAAAAUUUCACUUCUUUACUAGGUGAACUCCUGUGUUGGUCUCCAUUGAUUCACUUUAUGCAUCUGGUAUCUUGUAGUUCAUUUAUUCUCAAGAAGGGCAUUGUCCAAGAAGUUACCUGUGACUUUUUCUAACCCUCCCACACUUAUUGUGGUGAUGCUUACUUUUAACAAAUAAAAUAAAACCAUGAGCAGAAUAAAUACAUGGAAUACACACAGUAAUUUAUUUUAAAAAAUUUUAGAAGGUUUGGAUGGGGAUGAGAACCUUAUCCACAUCAACCCUUUCCAUAUUAUCAUUCAAACUUGGGCAACCAUGGGUGCAAAAUGCAUACGCGGCCAGCAGAGCUACGCCCAAGGGGUCACGCUCAGAUGAUCCUGGAUAUGUUUAUAUUAACUAUGGAGUUUCCAUAUUUAAAUAUUUGUAAUAAAUGUAGAGGGCAUACUAGGCAUUAUGAUGAAGAUUAUUUGUUUACAAGUGUUUUGUGUUUGUGACUUCGUUGGCUUCACUUUUUCUUUGGGAUGGAAUUCUAAAUGAGUCCACUGUAGUUGUUAAUAACCUUCAAAUAAUCUAUUUUUACCUCAAAACAUCUUUUAUAUUCUUUGUAUGAUCCUAUUUUUAGUGUAGCCGUCGAUAACCUUCACACAUUUUGGCAAAAUUCACUGCAUCUGUGAAGCAAAUGGUAUGGAGCAUAGACUUAUAAGCAUGCACAAAUACAUUUAUAUGGUCUGAGUUCAAUAUAUUGUUGCACAAAUAUGGAGUAUCGGCUAUGAGAUUGUAGUGCUUUUGAUGUGCUUGUAAUUCUUGGUCUGAUUUUCUACUAUCUGAAAUUUUGUAAUUUGUUUCCUUCUGUCUAUAUAAAUUGGCCAGGUAACUUCUUUAGGAUACGCAGUGCAUUUGCAUUUGGGGCUAAAAGGCUGGCAAGGUUACUUGAUUGUCCCAAUGAGGACUUAUAUUAUGAAGUAAAUCAGUUUUUUAUGAAUACCUGGGAUAGACAUGGUAGCGGUGUUCGUCCGGAUGCACCAAGGAAUGACUUGUGGCGCUUGCGAUUGUCAAAUCGAGACCAUCAACAUGAGCCUGAGAAUCUCCACAACAAUUCAGGUUUAGGUGGCAAAAGAAAUGAGAUUUCCAUUGGUUGUGAAUCUCAAGUUGACAGAUCGCAUGGUAGUGCUUCAUCUCAGCAUAUUAAUAGUCCUGUUGAAAGUACUUUUAGGGUCAGUUCUGUUUCCACAGUUUCUCGUACACAAACCCAAAAAAACUAUGGUAACUUGAAUAGCACCAGGGCUUUUGAUCAGGGUAGAAGGGAUGCUAGUAUUAAUCAGAAUGCAAAUAAUGAUAAAGGUAACAGAAGUUUUAAACCUGAUACAAUGAUUGGUGACAUUAAGGGUAGAUAUCUGUUUGCACGGACACGCUCUAGCCCCGAGCUUACAGACACGUAUGGUGAAGUUACCUCCCAAGGGCGGCCUAAGAAACCCCCAGAAAGUGUAAAAUGCCAGAUGUCUUCUUCAAAGUUGGAGAAUAGUAGAAGGAAGAACUUGGAAUCUGAUAUUUUGGCAAGCCAUGACAUUAGAUCUUCAACUGGCAAUCCUUCAUCUGUUAGUCACACUGCAUCCUGUCAGAGCUUUGAUGCUACUGCUGAUUCAAACAGUGUGUUUAAUAGUUACGGUGAUGAUCUGGUCUUGGGUGCUAUGAGUGAAGAAUUUUCUUCUGUUGCAGGGACACAAGGGAUGCAACAGGAAGAGCAAGAUCUUGUGAACUUGAUGGCAUCUUCCAUGGCUCAUGGUUUUAAUGGACAGGUCCGCAUUCCACUGAAUUUAGCUUCUGGUCACUUACCUCUUCCUCUACCACAUUCAAUUCUAACUUCAAUGGGAUAUUCUCAGAGAAAUUUGGGUGGAAUGGUUCCCACCAAUCUUCCCUUCAUUGAGACUGCAUCGGGUGCCAACAUGCAGUUUCCCCAAAGUUUGGUUUCCUCACCUUUAACCCAUUUUUUUCCUGGUGUUGGAUUGACCUCAAGCCCGGAAGAUUCACUUGAACGCGGUAAUGAAAAUUUUGGUCCUGUGGAAACGAACCCUAUGGAGGGUGAUAAUGAUUACUGGCAUCAGCAGAACCGGGGUUCUGGUGGCGGAUUUGAUCUUGAGAAUGGAAAUUUUGAGAUGCUUCAGUCUGACGAUAAGCAGCAAUCAACUUCAGCUGGUUAUAACCUUCUUCCUUCAUCUCAGAUAGGUGCCUCUGGCAGUGCUAGAAGAGCUCCACAUAAAUUCAACAAAGAUGCCGGGGAGUCAAUGAGGGAAGAUCAUGAAGAUUCUUUCCAUUAUCUAGAUAGUAGAGGUAACGAGGUUUACUUUGAUGACAGAUCUGCCAGCUCAAGAUCUAUGCCUGCUUCACAUACAAGUUCUGUGAGAAGUAAAACCAAUUCUGAGAGUUCUUGGGAAGGAUCAUCGGCAAAGGUCUCAAAACCAGCUAAAGAAAAAAGGGGUAGAAAAAUGGCUUCUACUGCUUCUCCAGUGUAUGGAAAAGGUAGUAGUGUGUCAGAACAUUCUUCUGUUCAGGCUGAUGAAGACAACAAAGAAUGGAAUCUGCUUCCAACCAUGGGGUCUGAAAUACCAGACAGGAGUGUAGGACUUCAAUCCCUUGCUCCUUUACAUAUUCCAAGGCAUCAAAUGCCCGGAUCUGAAGAAGCUCAGACAAGUGGGUCAGAAUCAGUGAUUCCGAUUGCUCCUGUCCUCUUAGGUCAUGGUGCUCGACAAAGGUCCCCGGACAAUUCAGAGGUUGUUCCCUGGACCUUUUAUCCCACAGGUCCACCUGUUAGCUUUUUUACGAUGCUUCCAAUGUACAACUUCCCAACUGAGUCAGGAACCUCUGAUGCAUCAACAAGCCAUUUUAGUGGGGAAGAGGGCCUGGGAAGCAGUGAUUCUGGUCAAAAGUUUGAUAUGUCUGAGGGACUUGAUCAGUCAGAGGCGUCAAGUACUUCAAGUUCUAUGAGAAGGUCUGCUCGUGUCGAACCAUUGGAGCACAAGUCUGACAUUCUCAACAGUGACUUUCUUAGCCAUUGGCAAAAUUUACAAUAUGGCCGGUUUUGCCAAAACCCACGAUUAUCUUCACCUCUUAUAUAUCCUUCACCUAUGAUGGUGCCACCUGUCUAUCUACAGGGCCGUUUUCCAUGGGAUGGUCCUGGAAGACCACUUUCAGCCAACAUGAAUCUUUUUACCCAGCUCAUCAGUUAUGGGCCCCAUCUUGCUCCUGUUACUCCUCUCCAGUCUGCUUCUAACAGGCCUGCUGGUGUUUACCAACGGUACAUUGAUGAAAUGCCAAGAUAUCGUGCUGGGACUGGGACUUACCUUCCCAAUCCUGUAAGAUGCAUUUGCAAGACUUCUUUCUGCGUGGCUGUUUCGUUUCAUUUGGCUUCUCUAUUUAAUUAUGUUUGCACUGUGCUUCUGUGUUUUUGUUAGCAUACAAUGGUAUUGCUUUGUUUCACCUUUAUCUAUCGCCCAUCGUUUGCCAAAAAUGUUGUCUAUACACGCAUUCGAUUGGAUUAGAAUUUUUCUUUAUAGAAGCAUAUUGCUUCUUGUUCCUGAAUCAUAUUUCGGGUUGGGCACUGAUUAGAACCUUGGUGAAAGGCAGUCCCACAUCCGAGUUGGGCACUGAUUAGAACCUUGGUGAAAGGCAGUCCCACAUCCGAGUUUGUGUAUCUGGAUUAAGUUAUUGGUUGCCAAAGACUGAUUCAUUUGCAUUGUGGCCUUGAUAUUGUGUGUCAUGUGGUCUAGAGAAUGUAUACUGGUGCCACAAGUGAAAGGGUGAAGUAGAGAAGAGUUGUAAUGUUACAUAUGAUUUUGUCAAAUUUGCAACAUUCAGUUCUGGGUUUUUUCAUGUGUAUUGAAUGCUGCUUUCCUUUUUUUUUUUAAUAUAAGUGACGGUCAGGAAUCUAGAAAGCAGCCAAGCCUGGCCAUUAGUGUUGGUGUGUUCUCAGUUCGUUUACGUUUCAUUAGUGACCUUACUGAGCAUCUUUUCUCAUUUAGCAUUUAGAUAUUUACAAUGCUAUUUAUCAUUGAUCAAUGUUUUUGUUUUGUUUUCUUUUAGAAGGUUUCUCCAAAGGACCGGCAUUCUACAAGUUCAAGAAGGGGGAAUUAUAGCCACGAUAGGAGUGACCACCAUGGUGAGAGAGAAGGGAACUGGAACGUUAAUUCAAAGUCACGAGCUUCUGGGCGCCACAAUCGCAACCAAGUUGAGAAAUCAAGCUCAAGGCCAGACCGGUUGGCAGCGAGUGAGAAUCGGUCUGAGAGGCCUUGGAGUUCUCAGAGACAUGACACAUUCCCCCCAUAUCACUCUCAAAAUGGUCCAUUGCGCUCCAGCUCCACACACAGUGGUUCCCCAAAUGUGGCAUAUGGCAUGUAUCCGC